CCUACGGGUGGCAGCAGUGAGGAAUAUUGGUCAAUGGACGCAAGCCUGAACCAGCCAAGCCGCGUGCAGGAAGACUGCCCUAUGAGUUGUAAACUUCUUUUGUACGAGGGUAAAGCCAGGUACGUGUAUCUUGUUGUAUGUACCUUAUGAAUAAGGAUCGGCUAACUCCGUGCCAGCAGCCGCGGUAAUACGGAGGAUUCGAGCGUUAUCCGGAUUUAUUGGGUUUAAAGGGUGCGUAGGUGGUUUGUUAAGUUAGAGGGGAAAUUCCGGGGCUCAACUGUGGCACUGCAUGUGAUACUGGCGGGCUUGAGUUGAGUUGAGGUAGGCGGAAUGUGUGGUGUAGCGGUGAAAUGCAUAGAGAUCACGAAGAACUCCGAUUGCGAAGGCAGCUUACCAAACUGCGACUGACGUUGAGGCACGAAAGCGUGGGUAGCAAACAGGAUUAGAUACCCUUGUAGUC
rnacentral:rRNA from 1 species